GAUAUGAGAAUGUCACAGCUGUCCCUGCUCAGGCCCUGCUACCUACUCACAGCCCGGUGUGGUCGCAGGCAGGGAACCCGGCCAGAACCCAGAGAAAGCACUGCACUCCCCUCUGUGUGGGGUAGGGCAGGGGCAGCUGAGCCACUGGGCCCAGCCCCUCCCUCUUGUGACCAGUGGGCUGUGGAGGGCCAGGCAGAGAAGCCAGGCCAGGGAUGGAUAGGCAGGGGGGUGGGGAGCUGCGCCGCAGAGCAGAUAAGCAGGGCAGUCUCAGGGGUGGAUAGGUGGGUGUGAUGCAGUAGGUACUGUCUGUGUGGGGAGUGGGAGAG